GACGAACGCUGGCGGCGUGCUUAACACAUGCAAGUCGAACGGAAAGGCCCUGCUUUUGUGGGGUGCUCGAGUGGCGAACGGGUGAGUAACACGUGAGUAACCUGCCCUUGACUUUGGGAUAACUUCAGGAAACUGGGGCUAAUACCGGAUAGGAGCUCCUGCUGCAUGGUGGGGGUUGGAAAGUUUCGGCGGUUGGGGAUGGACUCGCGGCUUAUCAGCUUGUUGGUGGGGUAGUGGCUUACCAAGGCUUUGACGGGUAGCCGGCCUGAGAGGGUGACCGGCCACAUUGGGACUGAGAUACGGACCAGACUCCUACGGGAGGCAGCAGUGGGGAAUAUUGCACAAUGGGCCGAAGCCUGAUGCAGCAACGCCGCGUGCGGGAUGACGGCCUGCGGGUUGUAAACCGCUUUCGCCUGUGACGAAGCGUGAGUGACGGUAAUGGGUAAAGAAGCACCGGCUAACUACGUG
rnacentral:rRNA from 1 species